AAUCAAAUUGAGUAAAUUAGUAAUCUAAUUACUAAUUAAUUUUCUAUUAAUAGUAGAGUCUCAGUCCAGUAGGACUCUCCUCUAGAGUCCCAAUCUCAGUAGGACUCCUCACUAGAGUCACAAUUUAAUUGAACUCUUCAGCCAUCAGAUCUGACUGAAUAUUUUAAUAUGUAUAACCCCAUAGAUUCGAACCUAAGUUGAUAGCAUAAGAAUAAUUUUUUAUACCAAUCAAUGUAACCAUCUAGCAA
rnacentral:lncRNA from 1 species